AAAGUGCACUGGGCAGUCGCAGCCUCGCAGCCUUCAGUGGCAAUAUUAUUGCGUGGGUGAGGAAAGUCCGGACUCCACAGGGCAAGGGUGAUGGCUAACAGCCAUCCGUGGUAACACGCGGAAUAGGGCAACAGAAAGUAAACUGCCGAUGGCCUAAUGAAAACUAGGAUCAGGUAAGGGUGAAACGGUGCGGUAAGAGCGCACCGCGGCGACGGCGACGUUCGUCGGCGGAUGUAACCUCCACUCGGAGCAAUUCCAAGUAAGCAGACGCAUAUCUUUAAAUUAAGAACGGCGGGUGCCCUCGUUUAGUCUGCGGGUAGGAAGCUUGAACACACUAGCAAUAGCGUGUCUAGAGAAAUGACUGUCACAUGGGCUGAGCGUAUUCAAACGCGAAACGUGCACAGAAUCCGGCUUAUAAGUUCACUUUGCCU
rnacentral:RNase_P_RNA from 1 species